UACGUAGGGUGCGAGCGUUGUCCGGAAUUAUUGGGCGUAAAGAGCUCGUAGGCGGUCUGUCGCGUCGGCUGUGAAAACCCGGAGCUCAACUCCGGGCCUGCAGUCGAUACGGGCAAACUGGAGUGUUGCAGGGGAGACUGGAAUUCCUGGUGUAGCGGUGAAAUGCGCAGAUAUCAGGAGGAACACCGGUGGCGAAGGCGGGGUCUCUGGGCAACAACUGACGCUGAGGAGCGAAAGCGUGGGGAGCGAACAGG
rnacentral:rRNA from 1 species